GUGAAUAUCAGUUAGAAAUCUAGUUGUUCAUUGCAAAACUAAACCAGUUUAUAGCAGAAAUAAGCACUUGGAGGGAAAUGUUACAUUUUCACUGCAGGCCUUGAAUCCUUAGCCACCAGCUCCGUGUCCUUCAGUGUUCUGUGGUUCCUGGUUCCAGAGAGAUCACCUGCUCCAAUGUAACGAGUGAAGAGUUCUUUAGGUGAUGGCUGCUGGGCCCAGCUUUGCUGUUGUCUUUGCUGUCUUGUAAGCUUUGUGUCGCUCAAGUUCAGUUGUGUAUGAGUGUACUAACCACUGUGAGCUUCUCCAAGCAUGUGCAAGCAAUUUGAGAGGAGCCUAAUAUUUGCAAGGAAUUUGAGAGGAGCCUUUUAAGGAUGUUUUAUUGGCGGGGGUCAGGUGAGGGAGAUAACACGGGGGCAAGAAGGAAAGUUAUUAAUUCAUGGGAAACUACCAGCCCUUCAUCACCUAACUUGUGAUUUACAGACACUGAGCACAUUGCAGGUUGAGAAGGUGCUUGGUCCUUUUUGUAGCCUUAUGCUGUGCUCUUCAGAGACGUGAGUGUGCUGCUUUUUCUCACCAUUUUGUUUCUUGUAGAUUGUUUUCCUUGAUGCUGGAAAACAUUUUGAAGACAAGACUCUAAACAGUGACCUAUGCCACACUAGUUUAUUGGAAAAUGAGAAACUUACAUUACUGACAAGCUUGGAAGAUUCUUCAGUCCUGCAGUGACCUGAUGAUAUUGAUGAUGAAAUGUCUUACGAUGAUCAUUUAGAGGUUUAUUUCGAACAACUGGCAAUUCCAGGAAUGAUGGAAUAAAGCAUACGAAGUAGAAGGACUGGAACCUCCAGAAAAAGUACUUUAAGUUACCUACAGGUGAUCCUAGUCAGAUCAACCAGUGGCUAGCAUUUGCCACCUUUUGCAGUUUCUUUCUCUUUCCAUAAGUACUUUCUUCUCUGAAUCAUUUGAAAGCAAAUGAAAACAGUAGCCUAAAGUGUCAGUUUCAACCCGAAAAUAACAGCUCUGAUUUCUCAUGGCUCACACUCGUCUGAAAUGACUCGGGUAGAGGCUGAGGAAGGCUGUGUUGUUUGUCUACCUGGGACUACACCUACUGAAAGAAGUUCUCAAGUUCUGAUUGAGUUCUAAAAUUCUUUUGAAGAUUGGAAUUCUUCAUAUGUAAAAAGAGAAGAGAAAGACAUUCUUGAUUUUGGUGACUAGAGUUGUAGAUGCUGGAAGCUUUGCCACUAACAUUGAUGAACCAGAUGCAUGUCACCAGCCCAUCACGGUGAUUCUUAAUGCCGGCACCAUGGGCCGGCACUGCCACGUUUUCCAAGGAACCUGCCAGAGCUCCUGCGGAAGCUGCUCCUCGGGCGAUGGAGUCCCUUUGCUGCUAGGCCCUUCUUCAGUCACCACAGGAUGCCUGCCAUUCAUGAACAGGAAGGAGAGGACGGGCUUUGAAUAAAAAACAGGAUCCAGGAAAUAUUUGUGAGGCCAUUUGGACUUCAGUGUGAAAUGGUGUUAAAAGAUGAAGUCAUUUAUUCAAGAAGUAAACCUCUGCCACCUGGACUGUGCUCAGACAUUUCAUUGAUUUUGUUUAAUAAACAUUUUCUGGCUUUGG
rnacentral:lncRNA from 1 species